CUCUCCAACGUUACAUCAUCAAUAUCGCCGCCAUCCUCCCCUCCAAGGUCGUCUUCACCAAGUCUUCCCUCAACGUCCAGAUCGGCUGCUGCGGCUUCCACUUCAUCCAGCUCAACACACCAACAUGUGUUUCUUUAAUCAGUUCAUCUGAUUCGGGAUGCGGAACAAUAAGCACCUUAAACUCUAGCUUCCUCUUACUUAUUUAAAUGUUUAUGAGUUAGCAGACGUCACUAGCUGUAGCUUGCUAGCUAGUUUUCUCUCUAUGUUUCUGAAAAGUGGUCGUAUCUUUCCGCCUCCGGUCAACCGGGUGCCGACAAAACGGUCAGGAACUAUUUCUCCUGUUUCGUACAUAUCGGUGGCCAUGAGCCUUGCGCUAAGCUCCAAGUUAUUUAUUUUAUUUUGGGAAGACGUCAGUGGCUGUUCAGUUCAUUUUCUGUGUGUGGAGGAUUGGCGAGCUGACACAGAGCUCCAUGUAACCAGUGUGUCAUGGUGGUGAUUGAAGCCUGUUAUGAAGACUUCAACACAUUUCUUCAGACGGGUGGACAGAGUAAUUUGAAUUACUAUGGUGACACACACAGGCUGGAAGUCUUCCUCCU